AUACGGAGGGGGCUAGCGUUGUUCGGAAUUACUGGGCGUAAAGCGCGCGUAGGCGGAUUGAUCAGUCAGGGGUGAAAUCCCGAGGCUUAACCUCGGAACUGCCUUUGAUACUGUCAAUCUUGAGUUCGAGAGAGGUGAGUGGAAUUCCUAGUGUAGAGGUGAAAUUCGUAGAUAUUAGGAAGAACACCAGUGGCGAAGGCGGCUCACUGGCUCGAUACUGACGCUGAGGUGCGAAAGCGUGGGGAGCAAACAGGAUUAGAUACCCUAGUAGUCC
rnacentral:rRNA from 1 species